rnacentral:rRNA from 1 species
UACAGAGGGUGCAAGCGUUAAUCGGAAUUACUGGGCGUAAAGCGUGCGUAGACGGUUAUUUAAGUCAGGUGUGAAAGCCCCGGGCUCAACCUGGGAAUUGCAUUUGAGACUGAAUAGCUAGGGUGCGGAAGAGGGAAGCGGAAUUUCCGGUGUAGCGGUGAAAUGCGUAGAGAUCGGGAAGAACAUCAGUGGCGAAGGCGGCCUGCUGGGCUGUUGCUGACGCUGAGGCGCGACAGCGUGGGGAGCAAACAGG